UACGAAGGGUGCAAACGUUGCUCGGAAUUAUUGGGCGUAAAGCGCACGUAGGCGGCAUUGCAAGUCCCAUGUGAAAGCCCACGGCUUAACCGUGGAAGUGCAUGGGAAACUGCAGUGCUUGAGUACUUAAGAGGAUCGCGGAAUUCCCGGUGUAGAGGUGAAAUUCGUAGAUAUCGGGAGGAACACCAGUGGCGAAGGCGGCGAUCUGGGAAGAUACUGACGCUGAGGUGCGAAAGCGUGGGAGCAACAGG
rnacentral:rRNA from 1 species